GAAGGAUAGACGAAGGAUCAAUCGCGAUCCUGCAUGCUGUUGCUUUUGAUCAUCUGUGAGUGACAAACGUUUCUUGACCUCGCAAUUUACUUAGGCAUGUACGAUUAAGCGAGAAAUUUAGCCACGUCAAACUUAAUUCUUCUUAAGAAAAGAAUUCUAUCAGAAUUUGAUUAGUCCGUAUACUAAUUAUUGAUAAUAAACUUUUCGGAGAAGCAUAUAUUAUAUUGAUCAAGACAACGCAUAAAAAGAUGAGUUUCAAAAUAAGCUUGUUAUUCAUGCUUGUUACUUUCAGCAUGUUUAGCACGGUAUACAUGCGUCCAUCAAAAAGAGAGGAAUCCCGUAUACGACCUGCUUAUUGUGAUACUGAUCAUGACUAUGGACAUGGGUGCAAAUGGUGGACUCCUUGCGCCAAGCAGUGGAGAUACGCGUAUAAUAAGAAUACAAGAAAAUGUGAAGCUUUUUAUUACAGCGGUUAUGAAGGAAAUCAAAAUAAUUUUCGAACAAAGGCCAUGUGUAUUGAUUCGUGUUAUGAGGAUGUAUAUUUUUAGAUGCACUUUUAAUAUAAAAUUAUUAUGAAUUUUCCAUAUAUUGAUAUGUAUUUACAAUAGUUUG
rnacentral:lncRNA from 1 species